rnacentral:rRNA from 1 species
UUUAAGCUUCCUACGGGAGGCUGCAGUGGGGAAUCUUGCGCAAUGGGCGAAAGCCUGACGCAGCCAUGCCGCGUGAAUGAUGAAGGUCUUAGGAUUGUAAAAUUCUUUCACCGGGGACGAUAAUGACGGUACCCGGAGAAGAAGCCCCGGCUAACUUCGUGCCAGCAGCCGCGGUAAUACGAAGGGGGCUAGCGUUGCUCGGAAUUACUGGGCGUAAAGGGAGCGUAGGCGGACAUUUAAGUCAGGGGUGAAAUCCCGGGGCUCAACCUCGGAAUUGCCUUUGAUACUGGGUGUCUUGAGUAUGAGAGAGGUGUGUGGAACUCCGAGUGUAGAGGUGAAAUUCGUAGAUAUUCGGAAGAACACCAGUGGCGAAGGCGACACACUGGCUCAUUACUGACGCUGAGGCUCGAGGAGCGUGGGGAGCAAACAGGAUUAGAUACCCUUGUAGUCGAAUUCUU